UUGGAAGAAUAUUAGAAAAUCUUAGUAUGCCUGAACUUCCACAGUGAUGCUCUGCCAUGGAUGGCAGAACAAGGCUUCACGAGCCAUGGAGGGCUCGUUGAAUGCCGGUCACGUCACUACAAAAUAACCUUCUCCAGGCAUACUUAGACUUUUCUUAUAUUCGCA
rnacentral:ncRNA from 1 species